AAAUGCUUUUGGGCAAUUGAAAGCAAGGUUUCGCCGGAUCGGAAAAGGAAUUGAUAACAGAAUUGAUAAUGCAAAUUCUAUUAUAAAGGCUUGUUGUGCCUAGCACAACUUUUUAAUAGCAGAAAAUGACCUAGUUAUACCUUCUUGGCUUAACGAGCAGCACGCUAAUGAUAUUAGGAGAAGACAACCACAAUCCGUGGACUCGCACCAAACCUUAGCAGAAGCGGAAUCAAUAAGGAAUGCGUUCUGUUCAUAUUUAAAUCUGGUAGAUGUUGCUGCGCUUGAUAUUGAUGGGGGAAGUGUUGCCCCUCCCGAUCCUGACGGCAGUGGUGAUGAACACGACGGUGAUGGCGACAGCUGGGGAAGAGAAGGAGAAAGCGGCGAGAUAUUUGUCGGGGAUGAUGACAUCGAAUCUGAAAAUGAGUAUUUUGAAUUUAU